rnacentral:rRNA from 1 species
CACGAAGCUGGAAUCGCUAGUAAUCGCGAAUCAGAAUGUCGCGGUGAAUACGUUCCCGGGUCUUGUACACACCGCCCGUCACACCAUGGGAGUUGAGAGCACCCGAAGUCAGUGAGGGAACCGAAAGGGCCCAGCUGCCGAAGGUGAGAUCGAUGACUGGGGUGAAGUCGUAACAAGGUAUC